UACGGGGGGAGCAAGCGUUGUUCGGAUUUACUGGGCGUAAAGGGCUCGUAGGUGGCCAACUAAGUCAGACGUGAAAUCCCUCGGCUUAACCGGGGAACUGCGUCUGAUACUGGAUGGCUUGAGUUUGGGAGAGGGAUGCGGAAUUCCAGGUGUAGCGGUGAAAUGCGUAGAUAUCUGGAGGAACACCGGUGGCGAAGGCGGCAUCCUGGACCAACACUGACACUGAGGAGCGAAAGCCAGGGGAGCAAACGGG
rnacentral:rRNA from 1 species